AUUAAAUCAGUUAUGGUUCACUARAUCGUAAAUCCUACACGGAUAACUGUGGUAAUUCUAGAGCUAAUACGUGCAAACGGCUCGUUCCCUUGUGGAGCGAGCGCAGUUAUUARAACAAAACCAAUCCGGCCUUCGGGUCGGUUAAAAUGGUGACUCUGAAUAACCGAAGCGGAGCGUAUGGUCUCGUACCGACGCCAGAUCUUUCARGUGACUGCUCUAUCAGCUUGUUGCUAGGUUAUGCUCCUAGCARGGCUUCAACGGGUAACGGGGUAUCAGGGUCCGAUACCGGARAGGGAGCCUGARAAACGGCUACCACAUCCAAGGAAGGCASCAGGCGCGCAAAUUACCCACUCCCAGCACGGGGAGGUAGUGACGAAAAAUAACGAUGCGAGGGCAUAUUGCUUCUCGUAAUCGGAAUGGGUACACUUUAAAUCCUUUAACGAGGAUCUAUUGGAGGGCAAGUCUGGUGCCAGCAGCCGCGGUAAUUCCAGCUCCAAUAGCGUAUAUWAAAGUUGCUGCGGUUAAAAAGCUCGUAGUUGGAUCUGGGCAGCUGGAUGUGCGGUGCGCUUUACAGCGUUACUGCUCGUUUGGCGCCACAAGCCGGCCAUGUCUUGCAUGCUCUUCACUGGGUGUGCUUGGCGACCGGAACGUUUACUUUGAAAAAAUUAGAGUGCUCAAAGCAGGCGUAUGGCCUUGCAUAAUGGUGCAUGGAAUAAUGGAAUAGGACCUCGGUUCUAUUUUGUUGGUUAUCGGAGCUCGAGGUAAUGAUUAARAGGAACAGACGGGGGCAUUCGUAUUGCGGCGUUAGAGGUGA
rnacentral:rRNA from 1 species